rnacentral:misc_RNA from 1 species
UGGGAGACCUUUUCAAAAACAGGGUCCCCGGCCUGCAAGCUCUUUCCUAACAUCCUAGCCAUGACUAACUUCCUUGAUUUAAGUUUCUCAGGGUCUGCUGCCCUGUCAUCUUCUUGUGAGUGCUCACUUAUUACCCCUACGAUCUCAUCAAUGCCCACAUCGGCAACACGGUCUAAGAGCGCCAGCAAUUGCUUGGUGCGCUUCAAUAAUAUGCUUUCCACAUCUGCACCACUGGCUACUACUUGCUCCAUCA